rnacentral:rRNA from 1 species
GACGAACGCUGGCGGCGUGCUUAACACAUGCAAGUCGAACGGAAAGGCCCUGCUUUUGUGGGGUGCUCGAGUGGCGAACGGGUGAGUAACACGUGAGUAACCUGCCCUUGACUUUGGGAUAACUUCAGGAAACUGGGGCUAAUACCGGAUAGGAGCUCCUGCUGCAUGGUGGGGGUUGGAAAGUUUCGGCGGUUGGGGAUGGACUCGCGGCUUAUCAGCUUGUUGGUGGGGUAGUGGCUUACCAAGGCUUUGACGGGUAGCCGACCUGAGAGGGUGACCGGCCACAUUGGGACUGAGAUACGGCCCAGACUCCUACGGGAGGCAGCAGUGGGGAAUAUUGCACAAUGGGCGGAAGCCUGAUGCAGCAACGCCGCGUGCGGGAUAACGGCCUUCGGGUUGUAAACCGCUUUCGCCUGUGACGAAGCGUGAGUGACGGUAAUGGGUAAAGAAGCACCGGCUAACUACGUG